UACGAAGGGUGCAAGCGUUGUUCGGAUUUAUUGGGCGUAAAGCGCGCGCAGGCGGAUCUGCAAGUCAGGUGUGAAAUCUCGGGGCUCAACACCGAAAGUGCGCCUGAAACUGCAAAUCUAGAAUGCCGGAGAGGGAAGGGGAAUUUCUCAUGUAGGGGUAAAAUCCGUAGAUAUGAGAAGGAACACCAGAGGCGAAGGCGCCUUCCUGGACGGAUAUUGACGCUGAGGCGCGAAAGCGUGGGGAGCAAACAGG
rnacentral:rRNA from 1 species